rnacentral:pre_miRNA from 1 species
UAUUCAGAUUGGUGCCUGUCAUGUUUAUAAGAAUGAAAGACACCAAGCUGAGUAGA